AGCUUUGUGCAGUGGCAGUAUCAUAGCCAAUGAGGUUUAUCUGAAGCACGAUUAUUACUAAUUGAAAACAGAAUGUGCAUAAAUAACAAGUCAGUUAUUCCUCCAGGAAGAUCUCCCAAGGAAUCAAGGGUAGCCUUAUCUUUGAAAUAUCUCCGCAGUCAUCUGUGGGGUACAUAAUCUACAGCUGGAGAU
ensembl:snRNA U4 U4 spliceosomal RNA